ensembl:lncRNA
GGGUUUGCAGUGUCUGUAUUCCAAUUGGUUGUCAGGGUUUUUGCAUUGGAAAUGCAUCAGUGAACAAAUCGCCUGCUUGUGCCAUCCGUAAGAAGAUGAAGGAGAAUGCGUGCAGUGGGCUGAAUGGAGAAUUCGUGAAUCAAAGGCAACACCAUCAAAUGCAUUAUGAAAUUAAGCACUAUCAGGUUGUCAAGGCUGUAGCUCAGCGGGUACAUGGUCCUGGAUACCAGAUUUUUUUUUUUUGAAAACUAUUUAUAUAUGGAAUCUGAAUGCACUCCAGGAUAUGCUGCAGUUCUUUGUGCCACAAGAGGCCAAGAAGCUCUACUACAAGACGUUGAGGCAGAAGAUGAAGAUUAUUACAAAUUAUCCAAGUCAGUUCCGACCAAGUCUACCAACAAUGUGUAUGAUGUAUGACUACCU